UACAGAGGUCUCGAGCGUUGUUCGGAUUCAUUGGGCGUAAAGGGUGCGUAGGUGGCGAUGUAAGUCUGGUGUGAAAUCUCGGAGCUCAACUCCGAAAUUGCAUUGGAUACUGCGUUGCUUGAGGAUUGUAGAGGAGAGUGGAAUUCACGGUGUAGCAGUGAAAUGCGUAGAUAUCGUGAGGAAGACCAGUUGCGAAGGCGACUCUCUGGGCAAUUCCUGACACUGAGGCACGAAGGCCAGGGGAGCAAACGGG
rnacentral:rRNA from 1 species